AUGCUGACCAGCUGCCCUCCGCUGCUGGGCUGGAGUACGGUGGACUACGUGGCGCCCAUGUACAGCUGUGCCAUCAACUGGGCCAGCAGCCCCAGCUACACCGCCUUCGUGGCCGGCGUGUCUUUCCUCUUCCCCGCCACCGCCAUUCUCUUCUGCUACGUGAAGAUCGUGCGUGUUGCCCGCAGCCACGCCAGGAGGAUCCACAGCCUGGAGGACCACCUCAACCGUAGCCGUAGAAGCCAGGGCGGAGGUGUUCCCGGCAGGCUGGUCUACUACCUCAGCGGGAGGUUUGUGUCCGAAGGCGUCUCUGGAGACGGUGCGUCUCAGUCGGCUGCACCGCGGGACCCCAGGUUUGGGCUGCACAGUCAGCCUCAGCCUCCCAGCCAACCCAACCAGCACCACGGCGUCCUGCGCCUCUUCAUGGUGAUCUCCGCCUUCUUCUUGUGCUGGACACCUUAUGUUGGUGUGGCCGUGGUCCAAGCCACAGAGGCCGCACUGUCACGGACCACAAGCCUGGUCCCGCCCUCGGCGGUCACCUUUUCGUAUUGGCUGGUGCUCCUGAACUCUGACAUCAACCCUCUGCUGUAUGCGCUGCUCAGUAAGCGCUUCCAGGGGGCUCUGCGGUGCCUGAAACAGAAGGUCCAGGCCAGACUCGGGGGCCUGGUCGGAGGAGGGGACGUGGGGUUAGAGGGAGAGGGCAGGGUGUACGGUAACCCCCGCUCUGGAGCUACGCCCAGCCACGUUCCAUCACAGGAGAACCAUGGCAGCCAUCAGGCCUCCAUCUACACCCUGAGCUCCAGCACUCAGGAGAUCUACAGAGAACAUGUUCACCACGUCCUUUUGCCUGGUAGUGCCUCCUGCUCCUCCUCCUCCCGCUCCUCCAGUUCACAGUGGAAUAACUGUACAGACGCUGCCCCCCAGAGGCCGGAGUGCCUGCAGGUCCCGUCUCGACCGGAGGAGGACGACAAGCGGCCCUGCAAAGCCGCUACGCAGGAGAGACAGGCCACUUACUUUUACGGACAGAUCACAGUGAGGGUGGAGCAUGACAUUUCCUGA
ensembl:lncRNA